UACGUAGGGUGCAAGCGUUGUCCGGAAUUAUUGGGCGUAAAGAGCUCGUAGGCGGUUUGUCGCGUCUGCUGUGAAAACUCAGGGCUUAACCCUGAGCCUGCAGUGGGUACGGGCAGACUAGAGUGUGGUAGGGGAGAUCGGAAUUCCUGGUGUAGCGGUGGAAUGCGCAGAUAUCAGGAGGAACACCGGUGGCGAAGGCGGGUCUCUGGGCCGAUAUUGACGCUGAGGAGCGAAAGCGUGGGGAGCGAACAGG
rnacentral:rRNA from 1 species